rnacentral:pre_miRNA from 1 species
AGUGCCAUUUCUGAAACAUAUGGUAAGCAUAUGCUUAGUUUUAUAAAAAUUCACCAACCUGUUUUACAAAAUGGCUACACCAUUUUCCAUUUCUAAAGGCAAU